AAGGAAAGAUUGCUCAAAGUAGCAUCCAAGUUUGAUAUAUUACAUCAACAACGUAAAGAGCCUUCAAGAACAGUUGGGAACGAUGAUAGAUUGGGCUAGAUCUUUCGUCUCGCGAUCCGUACGGUCUUAGGUGAUUCGUUUUUC